rnacentral:rRNA from 1 species
UGCCAGCCGCCGCGGUAAUACGAAGGUGGCGAGCGUUGUUCGGAAUCACUGGGCUUAAAGCGCAUGUAGGCGGCUAUGAAAGCGUCGGGUGAAAUCCCUCGGCUCAACCGAGGAACGGCUUGGCGAACUUCAUAGCUUGAGGCAGGUAGGGGUGUGUGGAACUCUUGGUGGAGCGGUGGAAUGCGUAGAUAUCAAGAGGAACGCCGGAGGCGAAAGCGACACACUGGGCCUGUCCUGACGCUGAGAUGUGAAGGCUAGGGUAGCGAACGGGAUUAGAUA